GCCGCCGUAGCUCAGCGGUAGAGCAUCCGGCUGUUAACCGGAGGGUCGGGGGUUCAAAUCCCCCCGGCGGCG
rnacentral:tRNA from 2 species